CAAAAGGCUCUUUUCAGAGCCACUCAGAGUCUCAGGGAAGGCUGU
rfam:Oryctolagus cuniculus chromosome 12, whole genome shotgun sequence.